UACGUAGGUGGCAAGCGUUAUCCGGAUUUAUUGGGCGUAAAGGGAACGCAGGCGGUCUUUUAAGUCUGAUGUGAAAGCCUUCGGCUUAACCGGAGUAGUGCAUUGGAAACUGGGAGACUUGAGUGCAGAAGAGGAGAGUGGAAUUCCUAGUGUAGCGGUGAAAUGCGUAGAUAUUAGGAGGAACACCAGUUGCGAAGGCGGCUCUCUGGACUGUAACUGACACUGAGGCACGAAAGCGUGGGGAGCAAACAGG
rnacentral:rRNA from 1 species